rnacentral:rRNA from 1 species
GACGAACGCUGGCGGCGUGCCUAAUACAUGCAAGUAGAACGCUGAAGGAGGAGCUUGCUUCUCUGGAUGAGUUGCGAACGGGUGAGUAACGCGUAGGUAACCUGCCUGGUAGCGGGGGAUAACUAUUGGAAACGAUAGCUAAUACCGCAUAAUAGCAGUUAUUGCAUGAUAACUGUUUGAAAGGUGCAAUUGCAUCACUACCAGAUGGACCUGCGUUGUAUUAGCUAGUUGGUGGGGUAACGGCUCACCAAGGCGACGAUACAUAGCCGACCUGAGAGGGUGAUCGGCCACACUGGGACUGAGACACGGCCCAGACUCCUACGGGAGGCAGCAGUAGGGAAUCUUCGGCAAUGGACGGAAGUCUGACCGAGCAACGCCGCGUGAGUGAAGAAGGUUUUCGGAUCGUAAAGCUCUGUUGUAAGAGAAGAACGAGUGUGAGAGUGGAAAGUUC